CUCGGAGGCUGCAGUGGGGAAUAUUGGACAAUGGGCGAAAGCCUGAUCCAGCCAUGCCGCGUGUGUGAAGAAGGCCUUCGGGUUGUAAAGCACUUUCAGUGGGGAAGAAAGCCUUGGGGCUAAUACCCUCGAGGAAGGACAUCACCCACAGAAGAAGCACCGGCUAACUCCGUGCCAGCAGCCGCGGUAAUACGGAGGGUGCGAGCGUUAAUCGGAAUUACUGGGCGUAAAGCGCGCGUAGGCGGUCUGAUAAGCCGGUUGUGAAAGCCCCGGGCUCAACCUGGGAACGGCAUCCGGAACUGUCAGGCUAGAGUGCAGGAGAGGAAGGUAGAAUUCCCGGUGUAGCGGUGAAAUGCGUAGAGAUCGGGAGGAAUACCAGUGGCGAAGGCGGCCUUCUGGACUGACACUGACGCUGAGGUGCGAAAGCGUGGGUAGCAAACAGGAUUAGAUACCCUAGUAGUC
rnacentral:rRNA from 1 species